GUGCGAGGUGAGGGGAUCUCGGCUCAGGACAGCUCUGCACCAACCGUACAGAUGAGAGCCGCACUGAACUUUGCUGGUCAACUCAGAGUACUGCAGCCUGGCUGAAACGCAGAGGAGGAGCAGUCCUGACACCCUCUCUGUGAAGCCAGUCGCCCGUACUCCUGCCAAGGCAGGGGGACAUCUUUCACUCUGCAGUCACCUUCGAAGAAAAGCCAGCCGCGCAGGAAAGCUGUGUGUGACAGAACCAGCCCCCCCCCCCACGCCUCUCCGAGGGACAGCCACAAAUGUGCUCUCAAAGACGCUGGACAGGCUGGCCGGUGACAAGGGAGCCGGGGACUGAUGGAACAGUACAGGUGUCAAGGAGCUCACCAAACAGAUGGUAGAGAAAGCAAACAAAACAACAAGAGAGGACUUUUGCACUCCAUUCGGCGGCGCUGCCAAGCAUGGCGCAUGAAUGGGAUCAGUCUCCGGAUCACGUGACUCGGAGGAAGAACAAGGCAAAUUCUCGGGAUAAUCCCCACUGCUCCUAGCUCCGGUGUGCUUUCCCUCACCGAGGGGCAUAGUCAAGAGUUCACGUGUCCAAAACCAAGAUUAAAAAGGCGAAAUCGGAUGGUGACUUCCAGUAGGUGUCCUUUGCCACUAAUUGCUCUUGGAAGCUCUGUCUUCAGCCACGAUUUGGUGUUUUUUUUUCAAAUGAGAAUUUAGUUGCUUUGUUGUUGCACUGAGAAUGCAAACACAAAUUCGCAAGUUACAUUGCAUUUACUCCACUCUUGUGCUUAUCUGAAGUCCAUCCUUAAAAAAAAAUGUAAUUCUGUGAAAGUGAGAAUAAACAUGAUGCUUAUGGACAGACACCCGUUUAAAAGAUGCAAAAAUGCCUUUAAAGAAACCAUCCUGCUUUCAUGAUGUAUCUGUUUUCCUUGUCAUGCAGUCUUGCCCAUUGUCUGUAAAUCUUAAAUCAAUGGUAUGAAAGCAGAAGAGUAUAUCUGUGCUUCGCUGUUAUUUCAUCUCUUAUGU